rnacentral:sRNA from 1 species
CUGCUGAGCCCAAGAAAUGUGGGGCUUCUGGCAGACACAAGGCCAAGGGAGUGGGACUUGCUGCUAUUCUUGCUCCGGGAGCUGGUGGAGAAGGGUCUGAUGCGACGGAUGGAGAUAGAGGCCUGCCUGGGCAGCCUCCACCAGGCCCAGUGGCCAGGGGUAAGGGGUCUCCUGUCUUACAUGGAGAGAGAACAGGUGUUACAUAUCCCAUCUGUCCUGAAAGGAAGCAAGUGAUGGGGCCAAACUAAGUGGAUUUUUGUCAAGAGUCUUCAGGGCCACCCUCAAAUUGUCCCGAUUUGAGUAGCUAUUAUAUGAGGGACUGUGUUAGUGGGAAGACGGAUGAAAGGCAGGCAGUUAGUUGGAAAGCAGCACAGCCCAUUAUGUGGGUUUUUAAAAUUAGAAUAAC